CAACUGGAAAGGAAGGAGGGGGAUCUCAUGCGGCAGCCUGCUAAUAUCUGAAAGCAGCUUAGGAGUUCCUGAUAUUUACUCAUCAUUCAAGUUUAUUCUACAAACAUUUGUUUUUUAUUCUAUGGAACAACUGCAAACAAUUUGCUACAUGGAGCCAAAUGGUACAAUGAAUCUAAAAUACAAGUUAUAAUUUAGAAAGAGACAAACACUACUCAGUGUUCAGAUGCAUUCAUCUUCUUCAGCGGCCUCUCUCUUCAUUAGGCAUGACAGACGCAUUCUAAGGAGUGGGGAAAGUCACACAAAAGGAAGAAGUGUGCCAUCCUUCAACAUGUAAAUCACACAUGUUCAUUAACUUCAGGAGUGUCAUGUGAAGUACAGUCUGUCACCACCUAAGAGACUUCAAUGACCCUAACUACUAAAGACAAUUAGUCUUGCUUGCACUAUUGCACUACCCUUAGGUUCCCGGAACCAUGGUGAGCAACAGAGAAAAAACUUGAAAAACGGAGCAAGAAAGACCAUUCAUACGUGACAACUGAACAGGGCUUUACUUGCCUGAUGCCAAAGCAUUGAAAAGAUUUAUCAGGCUGGAUUCCCUCAUGUGGCCAAGAUGUGUUCAGCACAGGCCCAGAGUGUGUGUGUCUGUAAGUCUUUGUGAUUUUGCCCAGCAACUUAUACGUUUAAGGGUCCAUUCUAACAACCAGGGAUCGUUGGUGUGCAGCAACAUUCUGACCAUUCUCUCCUUUUCCUGGGCUAUGCCAGGAGCCAGGAGAAGGCUGGUAUAAAACCACUACAGCAGCUUUACGCCACCUUGGGAUUGUCCUUUCCCUCAGGAGGCUGGAUAAAUUGACCCCUUGGUGCUACAGGAAAAGUGCAAAAAUCUGUACCAGGACCAAGAUUAUGUCACAUCAUAUACAAAAGAGGCACCUUGAAGUGGAUGGGGCUUCAGGAAAAUGUCAUUCCUGCCUCUGACACUGAUGUAUUUUGUGACCUUGGUCAAGUCAUUUAACCUUCCACUAAAAAUAAGAACAAUUUUGCUUAUCCUACUUUGUAAAGUGUAUUUUGCAGCUAUGGAUGAAGCAUGUUAUAAAAAGUGCUAAGUAUUAUUAUCAUCAUUCAUUUAGUUUACCAGCACUUCAAUACUCCAGCUUCCUCUGAGACACAUGCUGCUACCUAACUAGUAUAUUAUUUAGGGUUUUUUUCCCCCCAAAGAAUGGUUUUUCUUUCUCUUCAAACUUUUCCCAAGAAAAAAUGUGAAAAACAAUAUUUCCAAGAAGAAUGGAGACUAAGGAACAAAUGAUGUACGGCAAGGUAAUUUGAAAGAUGUAGCUGGUCCUUUAUCUGCCAUAUUUUUCACAAA